rnacentral:rRNA from 1 species
CAGAGGGUGCAAGCGUUGUUCGGAAUUAUUGGGCGUAAAGCGCGUGUAGGCGGCUUGUUAAGUCGGGUGUGAAAGCCCUCAGCUCAACUGAGGAAGGGCGCCCGAAACUGGCGAGCUUGAGUGUCGGAGAGGAUGGCGGAAUACCCCAAGUAGAGGUGAAAUUCGUAGAUAUGGGGUGGAACACCGGUGGCGAAGGCGGCCAUCUGGACGACAACUGACGCUGAGACGCGAAAGCGUGGGGAGCAAACAGGAUUAGAUACCCUGGUAGUCCACGCCGUAAACGAUGAGAACUAGGUGUCGUGUGUGUUGACCCCUGCGGUGCCGUAGCUAACGCAUUAAGUUCUCCGCCUGGGAAGUACGGUCGCAAGACUA